rnacentral:rRNA from 1 species
GACGAACGCUGGCGGCGUGCCUAAUACAUGCAAGUCGAACGAGUGGCGGACGGGUGAGUAACACGUGGGAACCUACCCAUCAGAGGGGGAUAACUCCUGGAAACGGUAGCUAAUACCGCAUACCAUCAGCUGUGACGGGAGGGGAUUAGCUAGUUGGUGGGGUAACGGCUCACCAAGGCGACGAACCCUAGCUGGUCUGAGAGGAUGACCAGCCACACUGGAACUGAGACACGGUCCAGACUCCUACGGGAGGCAGCAGUGGGGAAUAUUGCACAAUGGGCGCAAGCCUGAUGCAGCCAGGCCGCGUGUGUGAAGAAGGCCUUCGGGUUGUAAAGUACUUUCAGCGGGGAGGCGUUACCCGCAGAAGAAGCACCGGCUAACUCCGUGCCAGCAGCCGCGGUAAUUC